rnacentral:rRNA from 1 species
UACGAAGGGGGGCUAGCGUUGCUCGGAAUGACUGGGCGUAAAGGGCGCGUAGGCGGAUGACACAGUCAGAUGUGAAAUUCCCGGGCUUAACCUGGGGGCUGCAUUUGAGACGUGCUGUCUAGAGUGAGGAAGAGGGUUGUGGAAUUCCCAGUGUAGAGGUGAAAUUCGUAGAUAUUGGGAAGAACACCGGUGGCGAAGGCGGCAACCUGGUCCUUGACUGACGCUGAGGCGCGAAAGCGUGGGGAGCAAACAGG